AUGGUGAGUGAAAGCAAAAAUAGGCUCUGCCUUGAGACAGGACCCUGUGAUUCAGAGGGCUCUUGUGUGAACAACCGACUCACAAAAUGUCCCCAAGGUCACUGCCACACGUCAGCCAGGAGACUCCAAUGUCCUUUGAAAAAUGCCAGACUCAAAUCUGAACACACGUGGCCAAGCCAGGGGGUUUGUGCAAUGCCGGAUGAUAUAAUCUGUGGGGUCCUUUGGGAAACCGGGGUGGGGAGGCCAGGCUGGCUCCCUCCAAGCUUGCUCUCAGUAUGUAGUCAGUUGGGCAAGUCUGAACAGGUGGGGGUCGUGGCCAUGCCCUGGAACCCAUUCCUCCUGAAGGAGACCCCGCAUCCAGGGGCUUGGCAUACCCGGGAGCUACCGGCCAGAGGGGUUCCUUGGGCUCAAAGUGAUGGCAGGAGGGUUCCUCUAAUAGGCCUGCCCAACCCCCUCCCCGUGGCAGGCUGCUCACGCUCCCUCCUUCAAUCCAGAACUGUGGGAGCCUGCUUCGUGUACGUUGGACACCCACCGGAGCGGUCGGGGCCCGGGUCCCCACUGCAGCUGUGCCUGGCCCCGGCAUCCAGCACCCCACCACAGGCCUGCCGGCUCCAGGGUCCCCACGCUGGCCGGGUUGGUCCAGAAGGCCCUGCUGUGACCCCUGAAGGAAUGACCGAGUGAAGCGGUGGGAGAGUCCACACAGCACAGAGGCCCAGAUGCUCCAGGACGGAGUGGCGUCCACGCAAGUGACCCAGCCCUCCCGCAGUCAGGUACAUUUAGUUUUCCAGCCUUGGUUCCCGAAGUCCCUGGCUGAGCCCAGAGAGAAGGAAGGCCGGCACUGGUGAGUCCUUUGGAGGCCUCUGGUCACCGCUGCUGAUGGAAACUUGGUCGGUGCCCUGGGAAGGUGGCAUCCCCCAGCUGGGUAGGGGAGUAGGAAGGCCAGCAGGCAGGAGCAGCGGGUGUUGUGCCUCUCCCAGGGUGUCCGUGAACCUUUCCUACGUGCUCUUGGGGGAGUUUUCUCCUGGCCGGGACUGCUGAGGCUUGGGUUAUGGGUUAUGGGCCCUUUGAGUUUGGGGCGGGGGGGGGGGGUGUGCACAUUUGCUGCUGGAUGUCUCCCGUCCUGUCCAGGGUCUGGACCCAAGUGUGAGCGUGGUUAGGCAGGUCCCGGUUGGGUCCCUGGCCCAGGAAGGCGGCGUCCUGAACUGGGAAAGAAUGGUGCCCGCUGCCCUCACCAGUGCAGAAGAGGUAUCCAUAGGGCCACUCUCGGGACCUGAGCUAACAGGAACCUGGCUUGGGGUGCUGAGUCUGCAGAGGUGGCUGUGGGGUGCAGAGAGCGCGUAAGAGGUGCCAUUUUCCGGCAUUCUGCCAUCUCAUUGGAAGAGGGAAGCACCCAUCCCCCGCCCCCGGCUGUGUCGGGCGGCCACGGCUGUCUGUCUGCGGGUGCUGUUCCGAGGCUGCUGGCAGGUGCUGUUGGCCUCCUUGGGCCCCAGCAUCAGCCUCUCAGUGGCCCCGUGCUCCCACCUGGAGCUGCCCACCCUGCCCCGGGGCCUGGGGACUCCUACUGCUCAGGUCCCUGCUUAGGGGUCCCGUGGGAAAGUAUGCAGGCCCUGCACCCCCCUCCUGCCACCUUGUCUCAUGUAGGGGCAAAACCCGGGCCGGGAGCCAGCCACAGAGUCUUGGGCUGGGCCCUGCAGGCCUCUACCACUCUGGGGCUCUAGCUGGGUCGGAGGCAAGGCCACGUGUGGCAGUGGGGCCUCAGCGCGUGAGGAGAGCAGCCCAAGGGACCGGCAACUGCUGUGUGGCUCUGUACCCCUGCCUUAUCUCUGGGGGCCCAGCUCCGCAUCUCCCAGUGGAGCCUCACACACCCCUCUCAGGCUGGCUCCCACUCGUCUCGGAGUCCAAAGCGCUACUGUGAUUUCAGAGCAUCUGCUCCAACCACAGGCUCCCACCUCAGUGCCUUUGCACAUCUGUUCCCAGUCCCGGAACAGGAAGUCUGCUCCAGGCCUCCUUGGCCUGCACGCUUGCUUCUCUGCUCAAGUGCCCAUAUCGGGGCGCUCUCUCCCCUCCUGCCGGGGUGGUCCCUGCCUCUCCCCCCUGACAUCCAGUACUGCCUGGGAAGUACUAGGUGCUCGGUGAAUACCCAGAUGAGUACAUUUGAAUGGAAACACAGCUUGAAAGCUGGUGCUGUGGUAGAAAGUCACACCUAGAAUUUAGAAGUGUGAUGUUUGCAAGAAUAGCACUGCGGGGGUGGGGGGGGUUGGCAGGAGGGAGCGCUGCAGGAAGGGGUGUUGGGGCCACAGUCCGCGGCUGCUUCACACACAAGACUGCAGGCUUCCUGGAGGCACAAGCCAAGACCCUCCUCAAAUGGCCUUGUGGCCAGCUGGGUGGAGCCUCCGUGACUGUGCCUGCCGAAGGCUGCACGGCAGCAGACUCAGAAGAGAUGGUGCGUGGGAAUCAGUCGCAGGAUUUGUCACAGAGCACCGAGAAGACCCCUUACCUAGAUGAUGGCUGUCCCAGGACAAGUUAAGGAUCUUCAGAGUGAAAACUUUCUUUUGUCUUUUAAUUUCUCCAAGUUAAGGACAUAGGGCAGUGGCCGAUGGAGAAGCUGGGAUCCGAGAGGCCCACGGGGGCUGGGGACCUGGAGGCUGAUAUUUGUUGACCGUUGAUGGAGACACAGAGGGCAGGGGCCUCCCUUACAGCAAUGCCUGGGGAGCUCCCCACCCGAGCGUACCUGGAAAGACACUACUGCCUAUUUGGCUUUAAAAGGUCCUGGCCUGGUCUCGACUAGGCAGUGAUCAGCCAGACCCCGCGUCCCACCAAGUUCUGGGCCCUCCAGUGGUGUUGCGUAGCCCCUGGUGGGGGCCUCCUGCACAAGGGGGGUGGCCUUGGGAGGCUCCCUCUGUCACCAGCCUUAGGGCCUUAUCCCAGUCCCCGGUGCUAGACGGGAGCCAGGGUCACAGGGGGUCAUCAGCAUGGGUCAGAACAUUGGCCCAGAGGACUGCCCGCCCCCCACACUGCCCCCCUUCUAGCCAGCUUCCCCCUCCCUCCGCCCGCCUGUUCUCCCAGCCCCAGGGGAGCCCUGCAGAACCCGAGAGCCUUCCUCCCCUCCCCAUCUCCAGGAAGGCCCUGCCCAGAGGGACCACCUCCAGCACCGCCUCCUCCCUCAGCCCCCACCCCCACCCUUUCCCUUGCCUCUCCCUUCCCCCCUUCCCCCCCCCCCCCCCCCGGGGCCCCUUCCCUUUCCCUGACCCCUCCCUGUUUCCCUGCGGAAGGCUGUGGUCGGUCUGGUCCAGCUGGGUCUCCAUUCUCCUGGACACUGUGGAUUCACUCACAUGGUCUGGGGACAAGCCAGCUUCAUCCUUUCCCUGCUGUCCCUGCCCUGGGCCCCGGUCAGGACCCUUCAGGCUGGCCCAGCGGAUCUCCCCAACUUGAGUGUUUGUGGUGUGGGAAACAAAGUCAAAAAAGUAAGUUCCCUUACUGCCUACAGCCCAGCGACAAGUCCUUGAAACAGGCAGAGUGGCAUUCCUAUAGGAGCUGGCUGCCUCCAUGAUGACACUUUGCUCAGGGCAAAAGACAAUCUUAUCCCGACCCCCCAGGGUCCUGUAAGUCUACUUUAACAUAUAAAAACUCCUUUGGAAACUUCCUCUAUCUCUACCCCCCAAGAUAUAUGCUGGCGAUCAUCCUCCCCGCUUAUGGCCCCUCAUAUACAUCUGAAGGACACUUACUCUGUCCCUAACCCCGGCCCUACCUGAGGGUAUAUAAUCAGUCACCUGUCACAACCCCAGUGCAGCUCUUCCUGCCUACGGGUCCCGUCCCCGUGCUUUAUUUAUUUUUUUUUAAUUUUUUUAAAGUUUUUAUUUAUUUUUGAGACAGAGACAGAGCAUGAGCAGGGAAGGGACAGAGACAGAGGGAGACAUAGAAUCUGAAGCAGGCUCCAGGCUCCGAGCUGUCCGCACAGAGCCUGAUGCGGGGCUCGAACUCACGGACCGUGAGUUCAUGACCUGAGCCGAAGACGGACGCUCAACAGACUGAGCCACCCAGGCCCCCCCCCCCCCCCGCUUUAAUAAAAUCAUCUUUUUACACCA
rnacentral:lncRNA from 1 species